CUGUCCUCCACCAUCCCCUGGAGUUCACAAUAGCAAAAUAAUAAUUCCAUAACCCCCUAGAAAAUUAUUUUACUAAUUCGUUCACAAACAGGAUUCUUCUUUUCCAUGAGACCACCGAAGUCUGAUAGAGGGCAGACUGACAACCCAAUCCUAUACAAGGUUAUUCCUGUGUGGGAUCAUCCCAGACAGCAUCUGAUGGCAAAAAGUGGAAGAGACAAUAAUGAGGAUUGCUUCCAGUCCUGAAGAGGAUCUCAGACCUGCAUCUAUUCUCCAAAUUUCUGCUGGAGGGCAAGGAGCAGAGCUAUGCAUCAGGUCAGGGUUCUGAAAAGGGUCUUCCUGGACAAUAGGGAAAUGGAGGAGGCUGUGAUGGAAAGUGGAGGAGAACCUUCUUAAGAACUUUCCUAAGGAUUCAAGCUUUA